rnacentral:tRNA from 1 species
AAAAAGUAGCUUAAAAAAAGCAUCCGGCUUACAUCCAGAAAAUAUUGUCGCCAAUCUUUUUGAGCCAA